ensembl:lncRNA
CAAAAACAAACUACCUCAAACCGUGAAAGGCCAAAUAAACUGAAAAGCAGUGUCCUGUAUAGUCUUUUUUAAAAUCUGUGCAGGUAUUUAGCACACUAUGUAACCUCAUGGCUCCUGGAGGAAGCUUACUGAGCGGCACUACUUCUGGGGGAGAGGAGGAAUUAGCUCAGGCUCUUUAAUCCAGCCUGCCUCUUCUAUUAAUGAACGGCUGAAGUGCCUUGGCAAAUCCCAGGUUGAGUUGAUAGCCAGGUCUUGUUAAGAAAUCCUAAAGCAAGUUUUAGGACCCAAGAGCAAAUAAUUCACGGCUAAUCCUUAGCAUGAAAAUCAAGGUGAGAGCGAAAGCAAGCAAAAGAGGGAGAAAGAGAGAGAACAUCAGGGGAAUGAAUGCGCGAAAGAAAAGAUGACACAGGUAAGAAUGCGGAGGGUCAUUUUUCUGACCAAUAUAGGUUCUUCCAUUAGCCAGACAGUCCUGGAAUGUCUGUCUGGCAGCGGGACUACAGUACAGUCUCAGGUCAUGGGAAUCUUCCACCAGAUCACAGGAAGGACGAAGAAAAACAGUGAGAGUUAGACUAUGAGGAGGAGGAGGAGGUGGCAGAGGAGAAGGAGGGGAGCCAACCUGGAGUCUGAGAGAAGAAUCCCGGCGCCACGGUGUAACAGCUGCCUCAGGCUGUUUAUUAUGGAGAAGUUUGCCAGGCACAGAGUUACCAUUCCCUUUUCUCCUUUACCAUGUAAAUGUCAGUUGAAAACGUGCCAAGUUCCAGAUACAAUAGAAUCAUAAUACUACCACUGUGCUUCUGGAUUAAUUAAUCAUAAUGAAUGAAAUUUUUCUUGAUUUUGUAUGCCAAGCCUGGAAGCAUAAUUCAAUUACAUCUUUGACUUCUGUAGCCUGAAGCAACCACUUAAACUCAGCUGUCAUAAAGCUUUUGGAGUGAGAUCAAAAAACACUAAGUAAUAAUAAUUUAAAAAAGAUUGUAAAAAGGAAUAAGAGGAAGUAAAAAAUAUUCUUUAAAUAUAUCAAAGGAAUAUAUGUAUGUAUCAAAGAAGGGCACGAUAAAAUAUUGUUUCCAAAUAUGAGAAUCGAAUGUGAUGACACUGCCUUAAAAAAUCUUUGUUUUCUCCUCCCAAACCAUCUGGAAAUAGUGUUAGGCAUAAACAAAACCCACGCUGGAACACUGAAAGGGAGCACUGAAAACCUCAGUGAAGACUAAACUAAUCUGAAAUCUGUCAGAACUUAAACUAAUCUGAAAUCUGUCAGAACUUAUUUUCACUUUCAGAACUAGGAGAUCAUUAUGAAACCUCUAAGUUACUCCUGUAAUAUAGACUUUUUGUUCUGUUUUGCUCUGUUUGCUUGUUUCUAAUGUAAGUGCCAUCCCCUUGAGGGCUGUCUGUAUAUGAAGCCAAAUUGUCUGUGGUUUAAUUUAUAACAGCCACUGUUUUCCUUUAUUGCAAAAAUUAAAAUGACCAUAAAGAAAAAUUUAAGAAUCCUCUGUAAUCCCAGCACUUAUAGAUAUCCCCAGCUAAUAUUUGGGUGUAA